CAAUAGCGUAUAUUAAAGUUGUUGCGGUUAAAAAGCUCGUAGUUGGAUUUCUGCCGAGGACGACCGGUCCACCCUCUGGGUGUGCAUUGGCUUGGCCUGGGCAUCUUCUUGGAGAACGUUACUGCACUUGACUGUGUGGUGCGGUAUCCAGGACUUUUACUUUGAGGAAAUUAGAGUGUUUCAAGCAUGCAUACGGCUUGAAUACAUUAGCAUGGAAUAAUAAGAUAGGACCUCGGUUCUAUUUUGUUGGUUUCUAGAGCUGAGAUAAUGAUUAAUAGGGAUAGUUGGGGGCAUUCGUAUUUAACUGUCAGAGGUGAAAUUCUUGGAUUUGUUAAAGACGGAUUACUGCGAAAGCAUUUGCCAAGGAUGUUUUCAUUGA
rnacentral:rRNA from 1 species